AAACUACAUGUCCCAGUGUGCCAUGCGGUGGUGACGCGAAGCGCGGCCUGUUCGGUCUGAACCCUCCAAGUUGGAUGUGACUUCUAGCGGCAGAAUGCUGCGGAGGAAGCCCACCCGGCUCGAACUGAAGCUGGACGAUAUCGAGGAGUUUGAGAGUAUGAAGAAGGAGUUGGAGAAUCGGAAGAAACAGCAGCGUGAGGAAGGAGUCAUGGUGAGCUCCAGUGAUGUGGACAGUGCAAAUGGAGCACGAGAUGAUGCCAAGGUCAGAGAGAAGAUAAAUGAGCGAAUUGGUUACCGACCCAAUCCUCACAUCAACAAACCCUUCUCUCUGUUUGGGAACCUCCACUGAUGGCCUAUUGACAGCAACACGUAUGGAGUGUACAAGUUCACCAGGCUGCGAAAUAUGACCUGAAUAUUUUGAAGAUUGUUAAUUCAAAGACGUGUUGCUCUUGGCAAAAUUGGUGCCCAGCUGACUCUCCUGCUAAGGACAGUGCCAAAUGCAAGAUAAAAUGGUGUGAAAAUCACUGACCUAGCCAUGCGCUCUGUAAAUAUUUCCACAAGUGUCUUAUAAAGAGAUGACAUAAUGUCAACAAGACACACUGCAGAACUUGCCAAGGCUACUUUAGCAGAAUGUCUGAAAUCUGUGACCUCCGCUAAGAUGGAAGAGGGCAGCAGGUGCAUGGAAACACUACCAUCUCCACGUUUUGUUCCACAUUGCACACCACUCCAAACUGGAUAUUAUUACCACAUCUAAAUUGUCUUGACCAAUAGCAGAAAAAAGAAUGCUGGGGAAACUCAGCAGGUCUGGUAGCAUCAAUGGACAGAAAAAAAGGUUGUGGAGAAUCCAAUAUGAUUCUUCUUCAGAACUGAAGGGAGUAAAAUUGACAGUGCUUUCACUGUCCUUAUGCAAAUUUUUUAUUCUGGAUUGUAUUAACUGAAUUCAAAUUUCAUUGUAUGCCACAUGGGAUUCAAACCCAUGUAAUCUGGGCUUCUGGUAUACUGGUCUAGUGACAAUACCUCCAUAAUAGGUCUCCCUGUUGGUAAUCUCACAUCUGGCCACAGUGUCUGUGAACUUUUCCAACAUAAAUUCCAAUGGUCAUCUUUCUGUUGUAAAUUUGUUAUAGUAAUUACUUUCUGCUGCUAGUAAAUGCACUAAAGCAUUUUCAUUGGCAAGAGGAUGUAAUUAGAUUAUGACCGGUUUAAAUAGGCAGCCUCCAUUAAAAGAGACACAUGCACAAGCAGGUUGUUUCACUUUAAAAUUAGAGCUGGGGCUGUUAUGAUGAUAGUGUCCCUACCUCUGAAGCAGAGGUCUGAGUUCAAAUACUACCUGCUCCAGAGAUGUGUAAUGAUAUUUCUGUACAAGUUGAUUGAUUUUAAAAGAAAUUAAAAUGAGCACUGUUCAAUUAGGUACAUGACUGUACCAGAGCUGGAUGGAUCCAACCUAAUUGGUCUUAAUCCUUUUCGUAGGUCUAUCCAAUAAUAUUUGGAUUAUAGAGGCAGGUUACAUUCAGCAAACAGGAAUGGAAUAAGAUUGAAUUCCUAUUAUUCAUGUAACCAGUCAGCAAUUUGGUAUAACUUCAAAAAUAACUUUAACAGAGACAGGGAUAUGUGUAACACAGCUGCACUUGAGUUUUUUUUUUAAAAUGAGCUGUUGGACUUUCUGCUCAAAUUUUUGAAGUUAAUUUGUAGGAUGUGAGCAUUGUUGGCUGGUCAUUGCCUAUCCCUAGUUGUGUUGAGGUGGUGGUGGUGGUGAGCUGCUUUCUUGAACUGCUGCAGUCCAUGUGCUGUAGUAGACCCACAGUGCUAUUGGGGGUGCCAGGAUUUGGACUAGUUACAAAGCACAAAAUGGGGUCUCCUCUCAGUAAGACUGUGUUUCAAUGCCCUCAAGAUCACUAAAGCCACAGGAACAAAGAAACAAUUCCAGCAAUUCCAAAUAUGGUUGUAAACUGAUUAGGUCAAAGUAUUUGUGAGCAGACAAAUUAAAAGAUAUUAAGUGGCUUGGAGGGAAACUCUGGUAGUGGUGGUGUUCCCUUGUAUCUGUUGUUCUUGUCCUAGGUGGAAUUGAUCACAAGUUUGGAAGGUGCUGAGAAGCCUUAAUGAAUCUCUAGAGUGCACUGUCUAGUAAAAAGAGUGGGUACCAUCUCAGUGUUGGUGGUAGAGGAAGGAAUUGUUUGUACAAGUGGUUCACCAGAGCGUACCAGGAAUAAACCACAGUUUGAAAAGGAGUAAUGAGCAAACUGAUCAGGUUUCAAAUCCCUUAGUUGAAGCAAAAUGAUAAACUGUUUUGCAUGUAUCUGCAGCAUUUUAUUUAUAGCACUUGCUCUUUGAAGACACAUUUAUAUUACUUAUUGAUGCUUGUAUUUGAAGAGAACAUUCUUCAUUGCUCAGAUCUUACAGCUGCCAAGAUGGUUUGUCAACACAAGAAAUAACACAGUUUAAAAGACAAACUAAUAGUUUAUUGGAAAUAAGCAUGAUAAUAUAUUAUUUUUCCAGUACAGAAAAUUGCAUUGUACAAUCUCAAGAAUUGUUUCUGACAGCUCACCAGUAAGAUAACAUUGCAACACUGAGGUGCUGGAGUGGGAGGAAAAUCAUCAACAUGUUUGAGAACGGAGAAAUCAAAUUAUAAGACAAAGGCUUAACAAUGGGUGACCAUUACUCAUGUUUUCAGGAGAGAACCAAAGGCACUGAAUUUCAAAUACAAGCUGAGUAAAGAUUUACCAAAUUUUAAAGGGUGAUUAAAAAAAAAACACCUCGUACAAGAUUGACAACCAAAGAAUUACAAUAUUUUCCCCGUCAUAUCCUUUUAUUAUCUAUAUUCAAUGUGAAAUGUGUGACUGCCAUUUAUUUCAGAAGGAGAAUACACUCUUAAGUCACAUUUUGACGAUCAACUGUAUUAAUAGCAGUUCUGGGAGCACAAAUGUGAAAAUAGCAGCACAAACUAGCAAGAGCACUUGUCAACUCCUGCUCCAACAUUAAAUGCAUAAAAGCCAAACUUACACAGCUCCAGUCCGAGCCAAGUUUUAGUUUAAAAAUACCAUUGGUUCUUUCUGCUCAGCUUGAGUUUUAAAAUCUGAAAUGGAAUGCUUUCAGUGGCAAUAUUUUAAGAGUACCAGAGGAGAGGAACAUUGUGUGCGCACUUAAAUGCAGGACACCUUGCCAUUCAUUGUUGGUUAGUCCAAAUGACACUUUACGGUGUCAUGGAUCGUGGCUAUAGUACAAACGUGGAUGACCAUGUUCGUUGACACUGCUAUAUGAGCUAAUGAAUUGGAAGCAAUGAGGACUCAGGACUCAAUAACAAACCUGUUUCACAUAAGCAAAUACAGGUAGUCCAAAAUUAAAAACAGAAAAUGCUGGAAAUACAAUGGAUCAGCCAGGGAGAAAGAAACAGCAUCUAGGUUAGUGAUCUCGUCAGUUUUGAGUAUUUCCUGCAUUUUGUGUUUUAUUUUUAUUUUACAGCAGAAUCUCUUUAAACAGUUCCUAUCUGUUACAGCAACCAGAAUCUGUACAAACUAGAGAAAAAAAACUUGACUGAAAAUCCCAAUAAAAGCAGGAGUCCAGGAGAAAGUAGUUAGUGGAGGAUAGUCUCAACGCAAAGUACAUCUCAUCUGCAGGCUUGGUUCAUAUGGUCAGGUCGUGUAGUGACACUCUAUGCAGCUAAUAUGAAAAAGUUACUUUCUGCAAGAUGAGGAAUUCCAAACACAGCCCUCAAAAUAAUUUUUUAAUUAACCAACUGCUGCUCAAAGGUUUGUGUCAUUCCCACCCCAAUGGCCCCAUUAGCAAGCUUUAAGUAUACACCUAACUGGUACCAUUUUACAAAAAGGCUCUCACUUUACAGAGAGUAUAAUAGUGUUACUUAGCGGUGCCUCUGGAAACUCUGUCCUGGGGCUAUCACUAGACAAAAAUAUUGAAACAAUUUAAUGCUGAUCAGAUUAAAGUUGUAACUCAGGUAUUAAA